CUUUAAACACCUACGAAUAUCAAUUUCCACGUGUAUUACAUGACGUAAGGAUGUCGAUGGACGAAUUAUUACACGUGUACGCAUCGCAGAACCACAGACAAAUUCUUCUCCUAAAAACACGUACAACGGUUAGAAUCAAGUACAACGGUUUACUUACGGUAAAAAUUUAAAAGAUGUAUCGAAACUACUACUUUAAAAAUUGUAAUUAAAAUACGAGACAGCGA